rnacentral:rRNA from 1 species
AAGACCUUGCGCUUUUGGAGCGGCCGAUGCCUGAUUAGCUAGUUGGUGGGGUAAUGGCCUACCAAAGCUUCGAUCAGUAGCUGGUCUGAGAGGACGGCCAGCCACACUGGGACUGAGACACGGCCCAGACUCCUACGGGAGGCAGCAGUGGGGAAUUUUGGACAAUGGGCGCAAGCCUGAUCCAGCCAUGCCGCGUGAGUGAAGAAGGCCUUCGGGUUGUAAAGCUCUUUCAGCCGGGAAGAAAAGGUUGCGAUUAAUAAUCGCAAUUUACGACGGUACCGGAAGAAGAAGCACCGGCUAACUACGUGCCAGCAGCCGCGGUAAUACGUAGGGUGCGAGCGUUAAUCGGAAUUACUGGGCGUAAAGGGUGCGCAGGCGGUUUUGUAAGUCAGAUGUGAAAUCCCCGGGCUUAACCUGGGAACU